AUUCUACCAAAUCUUCAGAAUUAGAAUCACAGAAUCUCAAGAGCUGGAAGGGACCUCGAAAGAUCAUCUAGUCCAACCCCCCCUACCACAGCAGGACCACCUAGAGUAGGUCAUACAGGAACUCAUCCAGCCCUAGGUAUUGGAGACAAGUGCCUGAAAAUGUUAAAAAUAGUGUGGGAAGAUCAUUGGAAGGCAAAUAUAAGGAGCUGAGAAUGGAAAGAGAAUCUGAUACCUUUUGCAAGCCAUCUCUAUUUUUGAGGAAUCACUUCAGAACUUGUAAAGUUGGUGUCUCUGUUCCCACUUCUCUGGAUGAUCAUCGCUUCAGUGCACAGAAAAUCUGCCCUCCAGUCCUUUGUGUUGCCUAUUUGAAGACUUUGUGGCAGAAUCAGGCUUAACCUGUAGCAGCCCUCCUGGGUACAGCUUCCAGGAGUGGAGGAGCUGGCCUGGCGUGAAGACGCUUGGCACAUUCGUGCUAUCAGGACCUGGAGAUAUGGCCAAGGCAGCUGAGGGAUGUGCUGAUUCAGUAUGUCCGUGCUGAGACAGGGAUUUCCAAACUGUACCUGUGAGCUAACAUUUACAUUUGGAACAGGUGGGGGUGAGUUUUUUAUACUUCUUAAGCUGAUGAAGAGCCAAACAUUUUGGAAAUUGUUUCAAUGACUGUUCAGGCCAGCAAAGUGUUGUGACUGGAGUUACCAAAACCUGGCAGAAACCACACAGCUGGAAGUCAGGCAUAAAAACACAGAGAAAAUUCAAGGAUAAAAAAUACUAAAGUAGAGCAAACCCAGAACCAUUUACUCUUACAUGAAAUACAGCUGAGAACAUG